GACGAACGCUGGCGGCGUGCUUAACACAUGCAAGUCGAACGAAGAGCGAUGGAAGCUUGCUUCUAUCAAUCUUAGUGGCGAACGGGUGAGUAACGCGUAAUCAACCUGCCCUUCAGAGGGGGACAACAGUUGGAAACAACUGCUAAUACCGCAUACGAUCUAAUCUCGGCAUCGAGGAUAGAUGAAAGGUGGCCUCUACAUGUAAGCUAUCACUGAAGGAGGGGAUUGCGUCUGAUUAGCUAGUUGGAGGGGUAACGGCCCACCAAGGCGAUGAUCAGUAGCCGGUCUGAGAGGAUGAACGGCCACAUUGGGACUGAGACACGGCCCAGACUCCUACGGGAGGCAGCAGUGGGGAAUCUUCCGCAAUGGACGAAAGUCUGACGGAGCAACGCCGCGUGAGUGAUGACGGCCUUCGGGUUGUAAAGCUCUGUUAAUCGGGACGAAAGGCCUUCUUGCGAAUAGGGAGAAGGAUUGUCGGUACCGGAAUAGAAAGCCACGGCUAACUACGUG
rnacentral:rRNA from 1 species